AUGCCUUAUGACAUCCCCAUGGAACCUUGGGUGAAGGCCCAUACAAGCCCCAUAGCCUUCCAGCUGUGGGACUACAUAUAUACACACUCACUGUCUCACUCACACCGAGGUUAUGGAAAACAACCGAAAACUAAAUUACCGAAGCCUCUCAUGAGGCAACCUGAGCCUCCAGUGACAUCUCACGCAAUUGAGGAAAAAACAUAUAAUUAGACUUUCUUUCUACAUCCCUUCACUUCUGGAAAGUGAUGAAAGUACAUGGGAAAGUUGAGAUGUAUAUCUCAGGGGAAAAGGACAAGAGCACAUGUGAAGAUGGUGAGUCAUUUUUUUUUAUUGCUUUCACUUAUGAAACAUCGUUUGUGAGCAGAGCUUGUAAUAUCAUAGCUUGCAGGUUGGAUGUCAGAAAACAUCUCUAAUGAUACUAUUUCUAGAACUCUCUGGAGUAACUAAAAUGUUUGGCUUUAAAUAAUAGAUAACCUGUCCCACCCUACCUUACACAAUUAUGAAACUCAUUAGUGCACAUAGUAGGAGGCCUAGGGUUAACACAGGUCCCAGAUCCACUGUGAACUCUUUUUCUACUUCUGUUCUGCAGUCGACAUUGUUGGCUAUACCUUAAAGCUUGUUCCUCUUUUGUUAAUGGAUAACUGUUAAGAAUAUUGCUUCCUUUUUUUUAUCAUAAGGGAAGUAAAAUCAUUUAGUCUUUUUUUUUUUUUUUUUUGAGAUGUAAUCUUGCUCUGCUGCCCAGGCUGGAGUGCAGUAAUGCAAUCUCGGCUCACUGCAACCUCCACCUCUCCUGCCUCAGCUUUCCAAGUAGUUGAGAUUACAGACACCCAACACCACACCUCGCUAAUUUUUGUAUUUUAAUAGAGAUGGGGUUUCACCAUGUUGGCCAGGCUGGUUUUGAACUCCUGACCUCAAGUGAUUCCCCCACUUCAGCCUCCCAAAAUACUGGAAUUACAGGCAUGAGCCACCACACCCAGCCCAUUUAGUCUUUCUUUAGUGAACAAAGAUUAUGUUUCCUCAGAUCUUGUAGCAAAUUUGCCUUGAAUUUCAUUGGCUAGAAUUUAGGCAAAUGUUUAUUUGUGAACCAAAUAUUGUCAUUAGGAUUAUCUUUAGACCAAUCAGGUGGCCAUCUGAGCUCAGUUUUCCAAAUGGCAUUGCUAUUACUUCAUGUAGCUUUACCACAAUGCCCAUUAAGCUCGUAAUAAUGUCUCAUUAUUAUAUUUGAUUAAUUUCUUUACUUGUAAUCACAAUGCCAUCAUUUCUGUUCUUUCUUACAUGUACGACAUAAAUUUAAAAUACUAGUCAUCUAAACUUCAGAAUUUUGUGGGAGUUUUUAGAUAAUGGCCAA
rnacentral:lncRNA from 1 species